UUGGAGGGCAGUCUGGUGCCAGCAGCCGCGGUAUUCCAGCUCCAAUAGCGUAUAUUAAAGUUGUUGCAGUUAAAAAGCUCGUAGUUGAUUUCGGGAUCAGAUUGUCGGUCGUGCCUCGGUACGCACUGGUAUUAUUGGUUCCUACCUUCUGAAGAACCGCGAUGUCAUUAAUUUGGUGUCGUGGGGAAUCAGGACUGUUACUUUGAAAAAAUUAGAGUGUUUAAAGCAGGCUUACGCUUGAAUACAUUAGCAUGGAAUAAUGAAAUAGGACGUUUGAUUCUAUUUUGUUGGUUUCUAGGAUUGACGUAAUGAUUAAUAGGGAUAGUUGGGGGCAUUAGUAUUCAAUUGUCAGAGGUGAAAUUCUUGGAUUUAUUGAAGACUAACUACUGCGAAAGCAUUUGCCAAGGAUGUUUUCAUUAAUCAGGAACGAAAGUUAGGGGAUCGAAGACGAUCAGAUACCGUCGUAGUCUUAACCAUAAACUAUGCCGACUAGGGAUCGGAUGAUGUUAAUUUUUUAAUGACUCAUUCGGCGCCUUACGGGAAAC
rnacentral:rRNA from 1 species